rnacentral:piRNA from 1 species
GGAUGAGCCAAUAUGAAUCCUUAAGACG